UGGGGGAUAUUGCACAAUGGGCGAAAGCCUGAUGCAGCGACGCCGCGUGGGGGAUGAAGGCCUUCGGGUUGUAAACUUCUUUUGCUCUGAACAAGGCGCACCAUGGGGUGUGUUGAGUGUAGGGGUUGAUUAGCGCCGGCUAACUACGUGCCAGCAGCCGCGGUCAUACGUAGGGCGCGAGCGUUGUCCGGAAUUAUUGGGCGUAAAGGGCUUGUAGGUGGCUGGUUGCGUCUGUCGUGAAAGCUCAUGGCUUAACUGUGGGUUUGCGGUGGGUACGGGCUGGCUUGAGUGCAGUAGGGGAAGCUGGAAUGCCUGGUGUAGCGGUGGAAUGCGCAGAUAUCAGGAGGAAUACCGGUGGCGAAGGCGGGACUCUGGGCUGUUACUGACACUGAGGAGCGAAAGCAUGGGGAGCGAACAGG
rnacentral:rRNA from 1 species